GCAUGUAUUUGGCAGGCACAAUACUAGCUGUCUUUCCUUUUCUAAAAUGUGUGCAAUUCAUAGUGGACCCAUGCCAGAGGAAGUUGCAGCCUCAAACCAUUGCCCAGCCUCCUUACCCUUGGGCUGUGAGCACUGAAGGGGGCUGUACAGUA
ensembl:snoRNA